UACGUAGGGUGCGAGCGUUAAUCGGAAUUACUGGGCGUAAAGCGUGCGCAGGCGGUUUUGUAAGCCAGAUGUGAAAUCCCCGGGCUCAACCUGGGAAUGGCAUUUGGGACUGCAAGGCUCGAGUGCGGCAGAGGAGACUGGAAUUCCUGGUGUAGCAGUGAAAUGCGUAGAUAUCAGGAAGAACACCCGUGGCGAAGGCGGUUCUCUGGGACGGUACUGACGCUGAGACGCGAAAGCGUGGGGAGCGAACAGG
rnacentral:rRNA from 1 species